AGACGGGGCCCGGCACAAGCAGUGGAGUAUGUGGUUUAAUUCGAAGCAACGCGAAGAACCUUUACCAGGGCUUGACAUCCCUUUGAAAGCAGCUAGAGAUAGCUGUGUCCUUCGGGACAAGGAGACAGGUGGUGCAUGGUUGUCGUCAGCUCGUGUCGUGAGAUGUUGGGUUAAGUCCCGCAACGAGCGCAACCCCUAUUGUUAGUUGCCAUCAUUCAGUUUGGGCACUCUAGCGAGACUGCCGGUAAUAAACCGGAGGAAGUGGGGAUGACGUCAAAUCAUCAUGCCCCUUAUGACCUGGGCUACACACGUGCUACAAUGGUUGGUACAACGAGUUGCGAGUCGGUGACGGCGAGCUAAUCUCUUAAAGCCAAUCUCAGUUCGGAUUGUAGGCUGCAACUCGCCUACAUGAAGUCGGAAUCGCUAGUAAUCGCGGAUCAGCACGCCGCGGUGAAUACGUUCCCGGGCCUU
rnacentral:rRNA from 1 species